CCUACGGGAGGCAGCAGUGGGGAAUAUUGCACAAUGGGCGCAAGCCUGAUGCAGCCAUGCCGCGUGUGUGAAGAAGGCCUUCGGGUUGUAAAGCACUUUCAGCGGGGAGGAAGGCGGUGAGGUUAAUAACCUCAUCGAUUGACGUUACCCGCAGAAGAAGCACCGGCUAACUCCGUGCCAGCAGCCGCGGUAAUACGGAGGGUGCAAGCGUUAAUCGGAAUUACUGGGCGUAAAGCGCACGCAGGCGGUCUGUCAAGUCGGAUGUGAAAUCCCCGGGCUCAACCUGGGAACUGCAUUCGAAACUGGCAGGCUGGAGUCUUGUAGAGGGGGGUAGAAUUCCAGGUGUAGCGGUGAAAUGCGUAGAGAUCUGGAGGAAUACCGGUGGCGAAGGCGGCCCCCUGGACAAAGACUGACGCUCAGGUGCGAAAGCGUGGGGAGCAAACAGGAUUAGAUACCCGUGUAGUC
rnacentral:rRNA from 1 species